CCGAGUUUACAACUCCCAAACCCCUGUGAACAUACCUUUAUGUUGCCUCGGCGGAUCAGCCCGCGCCCCGUAAAACGGGACGGCCCGCCGCAGGAAACCCUAGACUCUGUUUUUAGUGGAACUUCUGAGUAUAAAAAACAAAUAAAUCA
rnacentral:misc_RNA from 1 species